GGGCGUAUGGUGUAGUGGUAUCACACAUGCUUUGCAGAUUCCAGUCAUCUAUGCUGUAAUUCAGCCUUGUAUGCGGUCCAGGGUUCAAUCCCCUGUGCGUCCA